GGGGCCUGGGGCUACCUUCAGUCGGUCAUUCUCUGCUUUCAGCAGGUCCACCUCCAACUGUGGCAAGAACAGACAGGGGAGCUCAGCCCAUCAGACAUGAAUUCAUCCAUACCUAUUAGAGUAGAAGCAAAAUGGUUCUUCAUAAAAGUUGAGGCUCAGAGAAGGGGAAGGGGAAGAACAAUCCCCUAGUCUUCUAUUGUAGAGCUGGGAAGAAGACCCAUGCCCUUGAAGUCUCAGUCCAGGCGAUACCUUACCAGGUAAUUUUCCUCCCUUGGCUGAACUUGUCUAACUAUAGUCAAAAUAACGGCCUUGAUCUUUCUGUACUUCAUGGCACUCACAUUGGCAGAAAGCUGAGACGUCAAGGUGGCCACUUUUUCCUGGGAUGAUUCCAGUUCCCUACGAAGCUUCCGGAUUUGCUGUAAAAGGAAGAGAAAUACAAACUACUGGCUGCAGAAGCUGUUUAAGAUUUGGAAGGAAAACGGGGUGCAGUGAUGUUAACAAGCAGAGACAAAGGCUUUGCACCCUACCUCAGAUUGCAUCCUCUCCUCAGCCUGAAGAAGGGAGCACAGAAGGAGAGAAAGAGAGAGAAAGGAAGUAGUUACUAUGGAGGUGAAGAAGUCAGGUCCCAGUGGCAGGGUAGGAAAUGUGCAGAAGCAUGACUCAGAGGUGCAGAGAGGCUGAAACUCUUGUUUCCUGGCCCUGGCUCCUCACAGGACUCGGCUCAGAUCUACACUAGGGUUUCAAUAAAAGAUUUCUUUGGAGCUCAUCUCCAGCAAACUUUGUCAUUGCCAAAAAGGCUAGGAAAUGAGACUUUGGUCGGUUUGAGAACUAAUGGUUAUUGCCAGCAACUUGGAGUAAAGAAUUAGCAGCAAAACAAAUCUACGAAUCAAGAAUUGCCUAAUAGCCAAAUGCCGUGGCUGAUGCCCCACAAUAAACACUCGGUCACUUCUAGGGU